rnacentral:siRNA from 1 species
ACCGCAACCCGAUCUUGUAAGCCUA